rnacentral:rRNA from 1 species
AUUGAACGCUGGCGGCAGGCUUAACACAUGCAAGUCGAGCGGGGAAGGGUAGCUUGCUACCUAACCUAGCGGCGGACGGGUGAGUAAUGCUUAGGAACCUGCCAUUUAGUGGGGGACAACAUUCCGAAAGGAAUGCUAAUACCGCAUACGUCCUACGGGAGAAAGCAGGGGAUCUUCGGACCUUGCGCUAAAUGAUGAGCCUAAGUCGGAUUAGCUAGUUGGUGGGGUAAAGGCCUACCAAGGCGACGAUCUGUAGCGGGUCUGAGAGGAUGAGCCGGCACACUGGGACUGAGACACGGCCCAGACUCCUACGGGAGGCAGCAGUGGGGAAUAUUGGACAAUGGGCGGAAGCCUGAUCCAGCCAUGCCGCGUGUGUGAAGAAGGCCUUAUGGUUGUAAAGCACUUUAAGCGAGGAGGAGGCUACUAGUAUUAAUACUACUGGAUAGUGGACGUUACUCGCAGAAUAAGCACCGGCUAACUCUGUGCCAGCCGCCGCCGUAA